rnacentral:rRNA from 1 species
UACAGAGGUCCCGAGCGUUGUUCGGAUUUAUUGGGCGUAAAGGGUGCGUAGGCGGCGGAGUAAGUUGGGUGUGAAAUCCCGGGGCUCAACCUCGGAAUUGCAUUCAAUACUGCUUCGCUAGAGUACUGGAGAGGAGGCUGGAAUUUACGGUGUAGCGGUGAAAUGCGUAGAUAUCGUAAGGAAGGCCGGUGGCGAAAGCGAGCCUCUGGACAGUUACUGACGCUGAUGCACGAAGGCCAGGGGAGCAAACGGG